AUUGAACGCUGGCGGCAUGCCUUACACAUGCAAGUCGAACGGCAGCACGGGAGCAAUCCUGGUGGCGAGUGGCGAACGGGUGAGUAAUAUAUCGGAACGUGCCCAGUCGUGGGGGAUAACGUAGCGAAAGCUACGCUAAUACCGCAUACGAUCUAUGGAUGAAAGCGGGGGAUCGCAAGACCUCGCGCGAUUGGAGCGGCCGAUAUCAGAUUAGGUAGUUGGUGGGGUAAAAAGCCCACCAAGCCGACGAUCUGUAGCUGGUCUGAGAGGACGACCAGCCACACUGGAACUGAGACACGGUCCAGACUCCUACGGGAGGCAGCAGUGGGGAAUUUUGGACAAUGGGCGCAAGCCUGAUCCAGCCAUUCCGCGUGCAGGAUGAAGGCCUUCGGGUGUU
rnacentral:rRNA from 1 species